UACGUAGGGGGCGAGCGUUGUCCGGAUUCAUUGGGCGUAAAGCGCGCGCAGGCGGCUUCGUAAGUCGGCCGUGAAAUCUCCGGGCUUAACUCGGAGGGGUCGGGCGAGACUGCGAGGCUCGAGGCGGGUAGAGGCAGUGGAAUUCCGGGUGUAGUGGUGGAAUGCGUAGAGAUCCGGAGGAACACCAGUGGCGAAGGCGGCUGCCUGGGCCCGACCUGACGCUGAGGCGCGAAAGCGUGGGGAGCGAGUCGG
rnacentral:rRNA from 1 species